rnacentral:sRNA from 1 species
UUUUCGACUAGGUGGUCACACGGUACGAUUUUAGUUGAAAGUUGAAUCGAAUGAUAAAAUCAGAUGGAAAAUUGAAUGCGAAAUUGCAUCCCCAAAAUUAGUCAAUUUUUUUUGACUUACCAUAAAUAAAAAAGCAAAUAACUAUGAUCUAAUAUAUUGAACUGAUUUUCAGUGGGAAGUGUUCAGAACUCUGUAAUUUAUCUCAAGGAAGUUUCCCAAUUUUCUUUGUAGGUCUUCCAUCUCAAGUUUGGUUGUUCUUUUUGUGCUAGUCAUUGUAAUUUUUUAUUGCUGAAGUACAGUAUUUUUUUUUAAAUUGUUCAUAAAGUGCCAUUUUUUGUUAUGACUGAUUCAAGUUUGAGCAAUGUUUUAUAUAUUUUUUUUACAGUGCUGUGAAGUUGAUAUAAAACCCCAUAAAUAAACAGUUUUUGCAUAUACAGCCAAUAUGUUGUGACAGUCUUCAUCUUGUCUUGGUACAUGCAUUUUACAAUAAGUUUCAACGAUAUGCAGAAUGUUUCUUGCCUGCAGUCACAUCUGACAUUUUCAAAAUAAACAAAAAUACUAUAACAUAAAGAUUAUUAUCAAAUGCAUCUCCCUAUUACAAAGUAUUUCUGUAUUUUAUAUACAAUGUCAUGUAUAUUGAAAGUACCCAAAAUCUACAAAUGAGGCUCCAUGUACUCUGUUGGAUUCUUUUGCUCAUGACUGUCUUGCCUUUUAAGUGGCUGGAAGUUUAAUCCAUGUUUUGUUAAAUAUUGUACAUGUCUACUACAUGAAAAAUCCUGUUGAUUUUGAUAAACAAUAGUUUUUUAUAACAUUUAUCUGAACUAGAUUUUUUUUUCAAUACAAGGUGAGAAAGAAACAACGCAGCAAAGCUACAAUUUUUUUUAUUGUUGCUCUGAUAACUCACAGACUUGUAUAUGACCAAGACGAUCAAUUUUAUUAACUGCCAUUUUUUUUAACCACUUUAAACAUACAUGUACUUUUUUCUUAAUACCCUGUUUACAAUGGCAUUAUGUCAUAUGUUUCAAAAUAAUAUUAUAUUGGUGCUUGUUUCAUUUUGCUGGUUCAAUAUUUUUAACAUGGUUUCAUUUUUUGUUUGUUUGUUUAUUUUGAUACAAUGAGGACACUUGUAGGAAUGUUAAUGAGAAUGAUUGUUUGCUUUGAUGUAACAGCAGUAUAUAUAGUCUCUUCAGACACUUUUGUUAAAUGCAAUAAAUUGACUUAGAAACUC